UACGUAGGGUGCAAGCGUUGUCCGGAAUUAUUGGGCGUAAAGAGCUCGUAGGCGGUUUGUCGCGUCGGCUGUGAAAACCUGGGGCUCAACUCUGGGCGUGCGGUCGAUACGGGCAUCACUUGAGUUCGGCAGGGGAGACUGGAAUUCCUGGUGUAGCGGUGAAAUGCGCAGAUAUCAGGAGGAACACCGGUGGCGAAGGCGGGUCUCUGGGCCGAUACUGACGCUGAGGAGCGAAAGCAUGGGUAGCGAACAGG
rnacentral:rRNA from 1 species